AAUAGAUACCCUGGUAGUCCACGCCGUAAACGAUGAGUGCUAAGUGUUAGAGGGUUUCCGCCCUUUAGUGCUGAAGUUAACGCAUUAAGCACUCCGCCUGGGGAGUACGGCCGCAAGGCUGAAACUCAAAGGAAUUGACGGGGGCCCGCACAAGCGGUGGAGCAUGUGGUUUAAUUCGAAGCAACGCGAAGAACCUUACCAGGUCUUGACAUCCUCUGACAACCCUAGAGAUAGGGCUUCUCCUUCGGGAGCAGAGUGACAGGUGGUGCAUGGUUGUCGUCAGCUCGUGUCGUGAGAUGUUGGGUUAAGUCCCGCAACGAGCGCAACCCUUGAUCUUAGUUGCCAUCAUUAAGUUGGGCACUCUAAGGUGACUGCCGGUGACAAACCGGAGGAAGGUGGGGAUGACGUCAAAUCAUCAUGUCCCUUAUGACCUGGGCUACACACGUGCUACAAUGGACGGUACAAAGAGCUGCAAGACCGCGAGGUGGAGCUAAUCUCAUAAAACCGUUCUCAGUUCGGA
rnacentral:rRNA from 1 species